rnacentral:rRNA from 1 species
UACAGAGGUCUCAAGCGUUGUUCGGAUUCAUUGGGCGUAAAGGGUGCGUAGGCGGUUCAGUAAGUCGGGUGUGAAAACUUUGGGCUUAACCCAAAGCGUGCAUCUGAUACUGCUGUGACUUGAGUUCGGUAGGGGAGUGGGGAAUUCCUAGUGUAGCGGUGAAAUGCGCAGAUAUUAGGAGGAACACCGGUGGCGAAGGCGCCACUCUGGGCCGAAACUGACGCUGAGGAGCGAAAGCAUGGGUAGCAAACAGG